UACAGAGGUCUCAAGCGUUGUUCGGAUUCAUUGCGCGUAAAGGGUGCGUAGGCGGCGCGGUAAGUCGGAUGUGAAAUCUCGGAGCUUAACUUCGAAACUGCAUUCGAUACUGCCGUGCUUGAGGACUGGAGAGGAGACUGGAAUUUACGGUGUAGCGGUGAAAUGCGUAGAUAUCGUAAGGAAGACCAGUGGCGAAGGCGGGUCUCUGGACAGUUCCUGACGCUGAGGCACGAAGGUCAGGGGAGCAAACGGG
rnacentral:rRNA from 1 species